rnacentral:rRNA from 1 species
UACGGAGGGUGCAAACGUUGCUCGGAAUCAUUGGGCGUAAAGCGCACGUAGGCGGCUAGAUAAGUCGGGUGUGAAAGCCCUGGGCUCAACCCAGGAAGUGCAUUCGAAACUGUCUAGCUUGAAUCUCGGAGGGGGUCAGAGAAUUCCCGGUGUAGAGGUGAAAUUCGUAGAUAUCGGGAGGAAGACCAGUGGCGAAGGCGGGUCUCUGGACAGUUCCUGACGCUGAGGCGCGAAGGCCAGGGGAGCAAACGGG